GGCACCGUAGUUCAAUGGAUAGAAUAAGCGUUUCCUAAACGUUUGAUGUAGGUUCGAUUCCUACCGGAGCCACAA
rnacentral:tRNA from 1 species